AAACUUCGUGUUAUACAUUUCUAUCUCUCAUCUAGUCUAAACCAAAACUUUUCACACUCAGAUCAAUCAGUCUGUGAAACCGAAUGACAUCAUAUCUUAGUAGUAGACUUACCAUUUGUAACCA
ensembl:ncRNA F11C7.8 ncRNA